rnacentral:ncRNA from 2 species
AGAUUUCCAAGGAUCUCCGGCAAAGGGAAUCCGGUGCGACACCGGAGCGGUCCCGCCGCUGUGAUCCCCGCGCGCAUGGCGCGCAACGUCCGCCCCGGCACGGGCAUGAAGCUUGCGCUUCGUCCCGCCGCCGCAGCGCCACUGGCACCGGGUUCCGCCCGCGCCGGGAAGGCGGGCCGGACGGGGGAAAGCCAGAAAACCUGGCCGGAGCGCUUCUUGCCGU